CAAGUUUUGCGCCAAAAACAAAUUUCAUUACCUUUUUUGGGUUUAUAUUCUAAAAUUUAUUCAUUUCUUCCCGGAACACCACUUUCUUCUCAAGAUUUCAGUUCCAAUCGUGUCAAGAUUCCCAAGACUACCACUCCGGGGGAGCACCACUCGCAGGGCCGAAAGAAACUUGCACAGAGGCUGCAAAAUCUAAAGAAUGCCGUAGAGAAGCAAACGGAAACCUUAGAGAAAGAACUCAACGCUUUGUUCCGUUAUUAUAAGGAAGCCGUGACUGAGAGAGUACACGUCGAACUGAGUCAGAGCGGUGGUUCACGAAACGCCUUUGUGGCAGCUCUGUUAGAGGAGAGUUGUUUCCGUUGUCGAAGCUUGUUGACGAGAUUUACAACAGAUUGAACGAGGAGGUCGGUAAUGACGCAAUCGUGUUGGCGCAGCCCGUGACCUACUCCACUCUACUGUAAAAACAAUGAAUACAUGUGAGAAUCAUCCUCAGGGAGUUGUUUUGGUAAAAUUCAAGGAUAGGAAGGAUGCCCAAAAGUGCAUAGAAUUGAUGAAUGAAAGAUGGUACUAACAUUCAAAAUAAUGAAGAGGUUUGUUGUGCAGUACACCGCAAUUAAGCCUCUACGUGACAGAGUACUGAUAAAAGUUAAGAAAGCAUAAGAGAAAAGUGAAGGUGGGAUUUUGCUUCCCUCAACGUUGGUGUUUCCUUAUUUUCAGAGUGGCGUAAGUCACGGGCUCUACCAGCACGAUUGUGCCGUUACCGACCUCUCCUUUUCAAUCUGUUGUGAAUCUCAUCAACAAACUUCGACAGCGGAAACUCUUCUCCAACAGAACUGCGACACGGCGUUUCGUGAACCACCGCACUAACUCAGUUCCACGUGUACUUUGUCAGCCACGGCUUCUUAUAAUAGCGGAACAAGGCGUCGAGUUCCUUCUCUAAGGUUUCCACUUACUUCUCCUCGGCAUUCUUUAGGUUUUGCAGCCUCCAUGAAAGUUUCUUCCGGCCCCGCGGGGCUUCGGAGUGAUAGUCUUGGCAAUUAUAACCUGAUAUGUUUAUAAUGCAAUAUUCAUUUUAAACCAUGAUUGCACUGCCAAUAAGAGCAGCAUCAAGAAGAAGCAACUUCAGUUAUAAAGUGUUGUGCUAAUCCAACAUAGCAGUGCAAAAAUAGUCACGUUUACAUUGGGCUGUGUUUCUCGUUGCAGUUCAUUGUGCAUGUUUGCUUUCUCUUUCUCAGCUUCUCUUCGGUUUCCUCUAACUGUUUCAUUAGCAAUUUAUUUUCUUGAUUUGCUCU